rnacentral:rRNA from 1 species
UACGUAGGCAGCAAGCGUUGUUCGGAGUUACUGGGCGUAAAGGGUGCGUAGGCGGCUUCUUAAGUCUGGUGUGAAAUCUCCCGGCUCAACUGGGAGGGUGCGCCGGAUACUGAGGGGCUAGAGUGUGGGAGAGGAAAGUGGAAUUCCUGGUGUAGCGGUGAAAUGCGUAGAUAUUAGGAAGAACACCAGUGGCGAAGGCGGCUCACUGGCCCGGUACUGACGCUGAGGCGCGAAAGCGUGGGGAGCAAACAGG